rnacentral:tRNA from 1 species
GGGGAUAUAGCUCAGUGACACAGCGCCUGCCUAACAAGCACAAGGUCCUGAGUUCAAUUCUCAGUACCA